rnacentral:lncRNA from 1 species
AGAGCUCAACGUUCCCUAAGUGAGUGGCCUUUGACAGCAGUGCCAGGCAGCCCAGUGGGUGCAGGGCACACCACAGAUGGAGGAAGGGCCAGGCAUGCUUCCCAGACAGCCUCUGCCAGUCCAGGCAGGGGCUCCAGGGUGGCUGCGGGAAGGCAGCUUAGGCGGUGCCCGGCCCAAGGACUUGCUGUGCUCAGAUCCUCCAUUCAAGAGAGCUACAGACACGGGGGUGCUGGUGAGCAGGAGCCGAGACCAUCUGGGGUGGGACCGACCAAGAGUUUGAGGUGUCCAGGGGGUGACGUGAAGAUGACCUAUUGCAGAGGGUCCCUUCUCAUUCACGCUCUGAAGUCUGCACAGGGGCAGGGGCUACCGUGCUCCAUUUCAGUUUGGCCUCUGUUGUAUCAGCCAGAGGCCAGCAGAACUCUAUGGUCACUCCCCCGUGUCACGGACAAUUUGCCACCUCCACCGGCAGCCCAGGGCUCUGCCUGAAUAUUCUCGCCUGAUCGUAGGAUUGUGGGGAGGGAUAUUCUCAUUGAUCUCUAAGGAAAAUAUUGUUCGCUUUUUAAAAACAUGAUCUGGUACCAUUUCAUUGAUCUCUUUAAGGAAGAAAAAUCACAUGGUUGUCAUGAGCAUGUACCGACAGAGCUAGGAGGGCCAGCUGUUCCGGGUUGCCCAGGGCUGUCUUGUUUUUAAAAUGGAAAGUUCGAUGUCCUGGAAAACCCCUCAGUCCUGGGCAAACCAGGUCACGCUGGAUAGAAGGAGUUAGACAUUCAUAUGAUGUGCCGAUGUCUUGCCAGUUGUAGAGUUUUGUGUAAACCUGUGUGUGGCCUGCGUGUCCACAUGGGUGUGUAGGAUGGCACCUACACACAUACCUGAGGUCACCUCUUGGUCCAGUGAGCCAGAAUCCUGGGACUUCAUCAUCUUUUUUUUUUUUUUUUUUGAGAUGGAAUCUCACUCUGUCACCCAGGCUGGAGGGCAGUGGCGCAAUCUUGGCUCACUGCAACCUCCGCCUCUGGGGCUCAAGCAAUUCUCCUGCCUCAGCCUCCCGAGUAGCUGGGAUUAUAGGCGUGUGCCACCACGCCCUGCUGAUUUUUGUAUUUUUUAGUAGAGAUGGUGUUUCACUAUAUUGGCCAGGCUGGUCUUGAACUCCUGACCUCAAGUGAUCUGCCUGCCUUGGCCUCCCGAAAUGCUGGGGUUACAGGCAUGAGCUACCAUGCCCGGCCUCAGAAUCCUGGGACUUCUGCUGGAGCCAGGGGUCAGAACAGACUCCUCUACUGGGACUGCCUGGCAGGGAGGACAGACGCUCAAGGCGGCCCCAUGAGAACACAGCCACCUGGAAAAAUGGUGGAAGGGAAGAUUCUGCCAACCUCCUCCGACUCCCUAUCUCAGUUACACUGGUCCAUAAUUUCUUUUCUUUUUCUUAAGUCUGUUUCAUUGGUUUCUGUUCCUGGAAAAUGGACACAAUUCUGAUGAAUUCAUGUAUUCUGCAUCCACGUGUCAGCAUCUCCAGCCUUGUGACGCAGUGCCUGGCUCAGAACAGGCAAUCAGGCCAUGGCAUCUGAAUGAAUGAGAGGGUGUGCCCUGGCCGUAUCUCAGGCAGCAGAUGCAUUCAGCUGCAGGUAACAGACACGUAGACAAACAGUGGCUUAAAAAAGAGAGGCUUUAAAAGUAUUUUGUUUUUCUUUCUUCACGUAGCAAGAAGUCUGGCAUUUGGCAUUCCCAGGCUGUGGCGUGACAGCUUUGUGAAGUUAUCAGGGUCUCAGACCCUGACAUAUUUCUGCUCUGCUACCCUCAGCAUGUAGAUUUGAUCUUCACGGCUACAAGAAACCUGCUGCUACUGCAGGCAUCUUACACGAGUUCCAGGCAGGAAGAGAAAGGAAAGGGUGACAGAGACAGAAAGCAAUGUCCCCAGAUACCCUUAGUUUUCCAUCUCAUAAGCCAGAAUGAUGUCACGUGGCAUCCCUGGAUGCACAGGAGGCUGAGAGAUAGUGGCGUUUGUUAGCUGGUCUCCUAGCCAUCCUGAAUGCCAAGUUUGUUAUAAAGAAACAGAGGCAAAAUGGCGAUCAGGCAGGCAACUGGGUGGUCUCUGCCACGGGCCCCUUGGCCAUUCUUUGUAAUGAUGGUCUUUGUCUUGGACCCUAUUUUGGAUAUUUGGGCACCUUUGUGGUACCCUUAUGUGCUGGUUUUGCUGUUGUCUGCCCUUCAGGAAUAGCAGCUGAGUCAAGCUGUCCUUGGCUGCUCCAAUCUGGAGUCAGAGGUUGGAGAUUUCCAUGGCUCCCCAUGGCUCCUUGGGGCCUCCUAAGAAAAUGUUUUAAUAAGGAAGUCCAAGGCUGAGACAGACAUGCUCCUUCUUAGAGACACAUGGGAACAUGCCUCUGCUCACAGCUGGUAGCCACAGAUGUAAACCGUAGCCCAUGGAACGGAGACAGUGAAGAAUUGAUGGAUAAAUGAAUAAUGAUGAUGGACAGCAGAUGUAUAAAAGGCAUAAAAGGAUAGUGUUAGGGCUGGAAUGUCUUCCCCCCAAUUCAUAUGUUGAACCUUUAAUGCCUAAUACUUCAGAAAGAGACUGUGUUUGAAGAUAUGGUCUUUACAGAGGGAAUAAAGUUAAAAUAAGGUCAUUAGGGUGAGCCCUAAUCCAAAGGAUGGGUGUCCUAAUCAGAGGAGGAGAUUAGGACCCAGACACACACACACACACAGAGCCAGGUGAGGACACAGGGAGAAAAUGGCCACGUACAAGCCAAGAUGAGAGGACUCAGGAAGAACCAGCCGACUCCACCCUUCAAAACUGUGAGAACAUAGAUGUCUGCUGUUUGAGCCACCCUGUCUGCAAGCAGUCAGCAAGCAUUCAUUGAGUGCUUGCAGUAUUCAAGGCACCACAGAUACAAUGUUGAAUAAGGCAAAGCACCUGCCCUCAGGUAGCUUGCAGUCAGGGAGGUAAGGGUAGUGGGCAGAGAGACCUGGAAACAGAUAUUAGACCUGCACUAAGCAUGUGUGGUUAUUGAACAGUAAAAAUGCCACCACAAAUUGCGAUAUGAUGUAAGUAAAAUGCGUACUGGCUAUUGAAGACUUGGCACAGAAAAAUAAUGUAAAAUCUCAUUAGUAAUGGUUUUAUAUUGAUUACGCAUUGAAAUAAUACUAUUUUGGACAGAUUGGGUUAAAUAAAAUAUUAAAUUUGAUUUCGCCUGUUUCUUUUAUUUUCAUUACUUAUUGGCCAUGAUAUUUUAUUUAACUUUUAACUUUUAUUUUAGAUUCAGUGGUACAUGUGCAUGUUUGUUAUACAGGUAAACUCAUGGGGGUUUGGUGUACAGAUUCUUUGUCACCUGAGUACUAAACUUAGUACCCAAGAAUUAUUUUAUCUGAUCCUCUCCCUCCUCCCACCUUCCACCCUCAAGUAGGCCCCAGUGUUUGUUGUUCCCCU